UUAAGCGACUAAGCGUACACGGUGGAUGCCCUGGCAGUCAGAGGCGAUGAAGGACGUGCUAAUCUGCGAAAAGCGUCGGUAAGGUGAUAUGAACCGUUAUAACCGGCGAUGUCCGAAUGGGGAAACCCAGUGCAAUUCGUUGCACUAUCGUUAACUGAAUACAUAGGUUAACGAGGCGAACCGGGGGAACUGAAACAUCUAAGUACCCCGAGGAAAAGAAAUCAACCGAGAUUCCCCCAGUAGCGGCGAGCGAACGGGGAGCAGCCCAGAGUCUGAAUCAGCUUGUGUGUUAGUGGAACGGUCUGGAAAGUCCGACGGUACAGGGUGAUAGUCCCGUACACCAAAAUGCACAGGCUGUGAACUCGAAGAGUAGGGCGGGACACGUGGUAUCCUGUCUGAAUAUGGGGGGACCAUCCUCCAAGGCUAAAUACUCCUGACUGACCGAUAGUGAACCAGUACCGUGAGGGAAAGGCGAAAAGAACCCCGGCGAGGGGAGUGAAAAAGAACCUGAAACCGUGUACGUACAAGCAGUGGGAGCACCUUCGGGUGUGACUGCGUACCUUUUGUAUAAUGGGUCAGCGACUUAUAUUCUGUAGCAAGGUUAACCGUAUAGGGGAGCCGCAGGGAAACCGAGUCUUAACUGGGCGUUAAGUUGCAGGGUAUAGACCCGAAACCCGGUGAUCUAGCCAUGGGCAGGUUGAAGGUUGGGUAACACUAACUGGAGGACCGAACCGACUAAUGUUGAAAAAUUAGCGGAUGACUUGUGGCUGGGGGUGAAAGGCCAAUCAAACCGGGAGAUAGCUGGUUCUCCCCGAAAGCUAUUUAGGUAGCGCCUCGUGAAUUCAUCUUCGGGGGUAGAGCACUGUUUCGGCUAGGGGGUCAUCCCGACUUACCAACCCGAUGCAAACUACGAAUACCGAAGAAUGUUAUCACGGGAGACACACGGCGGGUGCUAACGUCCGUCGUGAAGAGGGAAACAACCCAGACCGCCAGCUAAGGUCCCAAAGUCAUGGUUAAGUGGGAAACGAUGUGGGAAGGCACAGACAGCCAGGAUGUUGGCUUAGAAGCAGCCAUCAUUUAAAGAAAGCGUAAUAGCUCACUGGUCGAGUCGGCCUGCGCGGAAGAUGUAACGGGGCUAAACCAUGCACCGAAGCUGCGGCAGCGACACUAUGUGUUGUUGGGUAGGGGAGCGUUCUGUAAGCCUGCGAAGGUGUGCUGUGAGGCAUGCUGGAGGUAUCAGAAGUGCGAAUGCUGACAUAAGUAACGAUAAAGCGGGUGAAAAGCCCGCUCGCCGGAAGACCAAGGGUUCCUGUCCAACGUUAAUCGGGGCAGGGUGAGUCGACCCCUAAGGCGAGGCCGAAAGGCGUAGUCGAUGGGAAACAGGUUAAUAUUCCUGUACUUGGUGUUACUGCGAAGGGGGGACGGAGAAGGCUAUGUUAGCCGGGCGACGGUUGUCCCGGUUUAAGCAUGUAGGCUGGUUAUCCAGGCAAAUCCGGAUAAUCAAGGCUGAGGUGUGAUGACGAGGCACUACGGUGCUGAAGUAACAAAUGCCCUGCUUCCAGGAAAAGCCUCUAAGCAUCAGGUAACAUCAAAUCGUACCCCAAACCGACACAGGUGGUCAGGUAGAGAAUACCAAGGCGCUUGAGAGAACUCGGGUGAAGGAACUAGGCAAAAUGGUGCCGUAACUUCGGGAGAAGGCACGCUGGUGUGUAGGUGAAGUCCCUGCGGAUGGAGCUGAGACCAGUCGAAGAUACCAGCUGGCUGCAACUGUUUAUUAAAAACACAGCACUGUGCAAACACGAAAGUGGACGUAUACGGUGUGACGCCUGCCCGGUGCCGGAAGGUUAAUUGAUGGGGUUAUCCGUAAGGAGAAGCUCUUGAUCGAAGCCCCGGUAAACGGCGGCCGUAACUAUAACGGUCCUAAGGUAGCGAAAUUCCUUGUCGGGUAAGUUCCGACCUGCACGAAUGGCGUAAUGAUGGCCAGGCUGUCUCCACCCGAGACUCAGUGAAAUUGAACUCGCUGUGAAGAUGCAGUGUACCCGCGGCAAGACGGAAAGACCCCGUGAACCUUUACUAUAGCUUGACACUGAACAUUGAGCCUUGAUGUGUAGGAUAGGUGGGAGGCUUUGAAGCGUGGACGCCAGUCUGCGUGGAGCCAACCUUGAAAUACCACCCUUUAAUGUUUGAUGUUCUAACGUUGGCCCCUGACCGGGGUUGCGGACAGUGUCUGGUGGGUAGUUUGACUGGGGCGGUCUCCUCCCAAAGCGUAACGGAGGAGCACGAAGGUUAGCUAAUCCUGGUCGGACAUCAGGAGGUUAGUGCAAUGGCAUAAGCUAGCUUGACUGCGAGCGUGACGGCGCGAGCAGGUGCGAAAGCAGGUCAUAGUGAUCCGGUGGUUCUGAAUGGAAGGGCCAUCGCUCAACGGAUAAAAGGUACUCCGGGGAUAACAGGCUGAUACCGCCCAAGAGUUCAUAUCGACGGCGGUGUUUGGCACCUCGAUGUCGGCUCAUCACAUCCUGGGGCUGAAGUAGGUCCCAAGGGUAUGGCUGUUCGCCAUUUAAAGUGGUACGCGAGCUGGGUUUAGAACGUCGUGAGACAGUUCGGUCCCUAUCUGCCGUGGGCGCUGGAGAAUUGAGGGGGGCUGCUCCUAGUACGAGAGGACCGGAGUGGACGCAUCACUGGUGUUCGGGUUGUCAUGCCAAUGGCACUGCCCGGUAGCUAAAUGCGGAAGAGAUAAGUGCUGAAAGCAUCUAAGCACGAAACUUGCCCCGAGAUGAGUUCUCCCUGAGACUAUAAGUCUCCUGAAGGAACGUUAAAGACGAUGACGUUGAUAGGCCGGGUGUGUAAGCGCAGCGAUGCGUUGAGCUAACCGGUACUAAUGAACCGUGAGGCUUAACCUU
rnacentral:rRNA from 1 species